rnacentral:rRNA from 1 species
AACCUGGUUGAUCCUGCCAGUAGUCAUAUGCUUGUCUAAAGAUUAAGCCUGCAUGUCUCAGUACAGGCCUCACUAAGGCGAAACCGCGAAUGGCUCAUUAAAUCAGUCAUGAUUCAUUGGAUUAAGCCACAAGAUUUACUCGGAUAACUGUGGUAAUUCUAGAGCUAAUACGUGCAACUGAGCUCCGACCCGGUCUUCGGACAGGGGAAGGGCGCUUUUAUUAGAUCAAAAACCGUUCGGACUCCGGUCCGUAUCCACUGAACGGUGGUGACUCUGAAUAACUUAGCCGAGCGCUACGGUCACUGUACCGGCGCCGUAUCUUUCGAGUGUCUGCCUUAUCAGCUUUCGAUUGUAGGUUAUACGCCUACAAUGGCUGUAACGGGUAACGGGGAAUCAGGGUUCGAUUCCCGAGAGGGAGCCUGAGAAACGGCUCCACAUCUAAGGGAGGCAGCAGGCACCCAAAUUACCCAAUCCCAGCUUGGGGAGGUAGUGACGAAAAUAACGAUGCGGGACUCUUCCAGGGCUCGCAAUCGGAAUGAGUCAACCUUAAAUCCUUGGACGAGGAUCCAUUGGAGGGGCAAGUCUGGUGCCACACCC